GUGUCAGCAGCCGCGGUAAUACCAGCUCUCCGAGUGGUGGGGAUGAUUAUUGGGCCUAAAGCAUCCGUAGCCGGCUGGACAAGUCCCCUGUUAAAUCCAACGAUCCAAUCGUUGGUCUGCGGGGGAUACUGUCCGGCUUGGGGGCGGGAGAGGCCGCCGGUAUUUCCGGGGUAGGGGUGAAAUCCUAUAAUCCCGGGAGGACCACCAGUGGCGAAGGCUGUCGGCUAGAACGCGCCCGACGGUGAGGGAUGAAAGCGGGGGGAGCGAACCGGAUUAGAUACCCGGGUAGUCCCAGCUGUAAACGAUGCAGGCUAGGUGUUAGGGCGGCUACGUGCCGCUCUAGUGCCGCAGGGAAGCCGUUAAGCCUGCCGCCUGGGGAGUACGGUCGCAAGGCUGAAACUCAAAUGAAUUGGCGGGG
rnacentral:rRNA from 1 species